CAUUCUGAUCCUAGCAACUCCGAAUAGAUGGUCAUAGUCCUUGGAUCAGGCUGACUUGGCAUAUCAUUUCAAAGCUUGAGAGAGCUGAUGUCAGGAACAGAUCCUUCAUACCACGCUGCCACACUUCCCAUGAGUCUCCAAAGGGCCUUGUGGGCUCUACUUCUGAGUGUCCCAGCAAGACUAAGAUCAAAAGAUCAGCCACUAUUUUCUCUCCUAGCCCUUCUUUCAAGCAGAACUCAUCACUGGAGAUCUACGGAUGAACCACCUGAAAGUCCCCGAAGAUAGUAUAAAGAUGGAAUGCAUUUGGGGACACUAAGCCCUUGCAACUUAAAUUUUAAUUACAUAGUGCUGCAUAUAUUAUUCUUCAGCUGCCUUUUGAUAAUUGUGUGGUUGUGUUUCCAGGUCCAUGCACAGAAGUGUAACUCAUUUUUAUAGCUGCAUACUGCUCCAUGUUCUUAAAGAAUACUUUUUGUUACUGGAUAUGCAGAUGGUUUCCUGGGAGCUUUUGUUAAUUCUGUGGCACUAUGUAACAAUAAAGACCUCAUACACAUUCCCC